ACUUAGUGAAAGCUGUUACCUCUCUGUAAGCACAUCAGCAGGCUUACUAAACAUAGGCACUGAGUGGAGAUUUAUCUGAUACCAACCAUCAGACACAAAAAAUAUUUCCUGCUAUAAAAUUCCUGAUCUAUCUUCACUGCCAGGUUAGUAGAGAGGCUGAAACAGGAAACUGAUGGAGUCCAUGAAGAUGUAAUGAAAGUGACAAGCAGCAGUAGAAGAAGGAGAAAUUCUAUCCCUGGAGAGGAAGUUAUUUCUACAUUUUACCAGAAUUUUUCUUUGUACUCAACCAGACUACCAAAGCCAUUCUGUACAAAAGCAUUUCUUUGGACAAAGAGCUGUGUAAAUCCAAUAUGAACUGUCCUAUCCUGUCUGCAGAGACCUUAAUGCCAAGAACAAGAAGAAUCACAAGUUUUGCAGCAUGCCACUGGACAAGAAAAAAGAAGUUGUAUGAGCUGCCAUCUGCAUAGUGUGGUGCAGUGAUAGGGGCUGACCUGCUGGCAUCCUGGUAGCCCUAGCUGUUACUUUGACUGACAGCAUCUGUGGACAACAUGGACCAUAAUCAUUCAAUGACAGGGAAGACAAGCAUGGAAAGCUGAGCUUGGUCUCAACCCUCAAUUCCUCAUCUCCAACACACGUUAGAGAUGACAUGUCCAGCAUGUCUACCUAUGUCAUCUCACUGUUCACUUCUGCACUGCUCACCAGCAAACCUAAAGCAUGGCUUAACCAAAGCACUGUUAGUGUCCUCUUUCCUUCAGGUUCUGGCUUGCUUUGGAUUUGGUCAAGGUGAUUUUAUGUGUGGACAAUUCUCUCCAUGGGGCUAGACAAGCAACAUUAUGUUCAUUUAAUUUUGGCCAUAACUCAGAUCUCUGGGCUGUUUUAUCUCUCUGAAAUGUUGAAACACCAUAAAUCUUUUCUCUAGAAGUCUCAAAGUUGUAUUUUUCAGUCUUUCCAAGACUGCUUAUACUGUCUGUUUCACUUAUUCUC